rnacentral:lncRNA from 1 species
UUUUGGUAAAGAUUGGUUAACAAGUACCAGUUGCUAGCAUGGAUAGUAGUGGGAAACUAAACUGGGCCAAGCAUAAUGAAAUCCAAACUGUGAAUAUCAAAAGUGUGGGAUCACAUUUUGAGAUGGAGAAAGAUUACCAUUGGCCAAUUUGAAGCACAACACCCCAAUGGAAGGUUUGUUGUUGUUUGUGGAGAUGGAGAGUACAUAAUAUA